rnacentral:tRNA from 1 species
GCGCGGGUGCUGUAAUGGUAGCCAGGCCACCUUGAGGUGGUGGUGGGGGCAACCCCGUGGAGGUUCAAGUCCUCUCCCGCGCACCA